UAGAGAGCGGCGUACGGGUGCGGAACACGUGUGCAACCUACCUUUAUCAGGGGGAUAGCCUUUCGAAAGGAAGAUUAAUACCCCAUAAUAUAUUGAYUGGCAUCAGUCGAUAUUGAAAACUCCGGUGGAUAGAGAUGGGCACGCGCAAGAUUAGAUAGUUGGUAGGGUAACGGCCUACCAAGUCAGUGAUCUUUAGGGGGCCUGAGAGGGUGAUCCCCCACACUGGUACUGAGACACGGACCAGACWCCUACGGGAGGCAGCAGUGAGGAAUAUUGGACAAUGGGUGAGAGCCUGAUCCAGCCAUCCCGCGUGAAGGACGACGGCCCUAUGGGUUG
rnacentral:rRNA from 1 species